GAAGCACCCAAUUUGAAGCUUGACGGAACGUGGCUCAACACCGCCAUCACCAUUGUUGUCACAGCUGUGUGACCUCCAACAGGUCUUCUUGGGCCUCAGUGGGUCAUUAGAGGCAGUAAGGGAGUGACAGAAGCACACACUGAAAGCGACAGUGGAGCCAUCAUGUAGCUGAGUCAGUAUGCUGCGGAUUUAGUCCUUGCUCUGGCCCCAAUGGACUGUGUGACCUUGGACAAGUCCCUUCUUCUUCCUGGGUUGCUGUUGAAGUUUCCCCAUCUGUACACUGAAAGGACUGCAUCAGUGCCCAAGAAAGAAGUGGGAACCAUUGCUAGGCGAGCAUCAUCUAACCUUGUGCUCUGCAAGGCCUUGAGGAAAAGACAAUCCACAUCAGAAGCCAAAGAGAAACCAGGGAUAUGAGUGAGAAAUGAAGGAAGGCUGUGGCGCCCCUCUCCACCCUCUCCCUUUCCCCACCGGCUGGAAGAUGCUCCUGUCCAAAUGGGAAAUUGAAUCCAAAAUAGCACAAUAAAGGAAAGGAAGCGCUCCAGGAGCAGAUGGGCUCCCACUCACCGUCCUGAGGAAUGUGCUGACUAUUCAGGAACAGGCCUUUGGCAGUCACUUAACACAAUCACGAAGCAAAGGGAAAUGAUCAAGUCUGUCACCAGGGUCAGUGCCAAUUUGUUUAAGAACGUGGUGAGGCUGAAAAGGAGGAUGUGGGGAAUGGGAGGCCCCGAACAUUCCUGGAGCCAGUUUGCAAAACCUCCCGGGCAGCAAUCCCAGUUAGGCCCAGAAAGGCCAGAGGCUUCUGGGGUUCUUGGAGGAAGCCUUUCCGGUUCCUCUCUCCUGUGGCCCAGGGCUUGUAGCCCCAGAUCAACCUCCCAGCCAGCCUGGACUCUCCUCCUGACCACAUUCAUCUCAAGGACAAGAGCACCGGCUGCAGCCGUCUCCACAAUAAAGGGGAGAAUGCAACAGCUCCUCCGGGUGCCAAUUGAGGACACUGCCGAUGCUGGGGCUGCAGUCUCAAGCUGCUGAGCCUACGUGAACAAAGUCAAGGCAACUGCGGCAUGGUGUGUGAGUCAGCUGCUUGGCUCUUCUGUGUGUGUGUGCGUGUGUGUGUGUGUGUGUGUGUGUGUGUGGUGAGGGAGGUGGAUUCUGGAUGAGUGAGAGACUAAAACGAAAUUGGAAACACGACCGCUAAAAGACUAACAUUUUCAGGCCAAGUCAGCUCAUCCGCCCUGCAAAAGAGCAUUUGAAACCCUAGCCAGGCCCGCUCCUGUCCGACUUAUUAGCCCCUGUGGACUGGCUUAUAGCAGGGAUUUUACAACUGAUAGAAGCCGGCAGUGUAGGGAAAAUAGCAAAAGGGCUCUGGAGCCAGAGAGAUGAACAUUGAAAUCUGGGCAAGGGACUCACCUCCUUGAACCUUGGUAAAAGAAUUCGGUAACUUAGGUUGAACCAUAUGAAAAUGCUAUUUUGUGGGUCAAAAAAGAUUGAAUAUUGACAAUUUCUUAUGGUUCAACCCAAUAGCCCCUUCCUCCCAGAGUUUUUGUGCAGAUUAAAUGAGCUAAUAUACAAGAGUGUUUAUACCAGCAUGAGACACAUGAUAAAUGCCCAAUACAGGAUAAUCAUGAUGAUGGUGAUGAUAAUGGGUAUUUAACACCUAAUUUUGGCCACAGAAUGAGCCCUGACCCUGGCCAUCUCAUAAAUACAAGUCCUGGAUAGGCUGAAAUACCUCAGGGACAUAAUCUACAGGGUUAAAAUAUUUCCCUGACCAAAUAACACCCCCCAACCUAGGCUGUCCCAGCUCUUAAAAUUUUUUGCUUAUAGGUCACUCUGUGGUGAAACCACUCUUCAAUGAAGGCUCCCACUAAAGAGUCCCCAAAGGGGAAGAGAUUCAUUCACUGAUUCAUUCGUUAAUUGAACAGCUUGUAUCAAGAGCCUAUUAUGUUGCCAGGCACUGUGCUAGGUGCUGGAUUGAAGAAGGUAUGGUCCCUGCCCUGGAGGAAUUUGCAAUUAGAUAUGAGGGAAGCCCCCAGACAGGUACCAACAGUCCACUUUUGACAAGUGUCAUAGCCGUAAAAAGUAUGUCCCAAGAUUUGUGGGGUCACUGAAGAGGGAUCAUCCUCUCUCUGAGGCAGGAGAAUAGAUUCUGGAGGCAGGGAACCUAAGGCCGUUUCACGCUAAGUUCCUAGAACUAAAUUGAAAGGAGAACCCUAACUUUCCAUGCCUAAGUAACAAAAGGACCAGAGGCUACUCCCUUUGCAAGCUCCCACCUUUUCUGCGUGGCUGAUGGGAAGUUGAAAGUACCUAUGAUUGGUUGUUAGACAUUUGCAUAGGAGUGUAACUUUGAAACUUCACUUCAGCCUCUAUAGGCUGUCCACAACCAAUCAGACUGAUUGCAGGUCAAGUCUUCGUUUGCAUAGAAGUGCAACAUUGUAACUUCACUUGAGCCUCUGAUUGGUUGCUGUCUACAACCAAUCAGAUCUUUGCAUAAAAGUGUGACCUUUGUAACUUCACUUCAGCCUCUGAUUGGUUGCAAUAAGACUGGUUGCAGACCACCACUUCAUUUACAUGGGGUGAACACCACGUGGCCAAUGGGAAACCUCUAGGGGAUAUUUGGACCCGAGAAGAUUCUGUAUCUGGGCCCUUGAAUGGCUGCUCAGGCCCGUUCCCAUGCUGUGGAGUGUACUUUCGUUUUCAAUAAAUCUCUGCUUUUGUUUCAUUCUUUC